AUGGGAGCUGGCAGCCCCCGCAACAGGAGCUGCAGCCUACAGCCUUGGUAGAGAAAUGUAGCCGCUGCCCAAACUGCCGCCUGGCAGCGAGGGAGGGGGUGGAUAGACGCCCUGGGCUUUAUCUCCUCCUGCCUUCAGAUCUACAGCAGUGCCUCCCAUUGCCUGCAUCCAAUUAAAAGCCAGAGGGCAAGAGAGUCCAGUGAUGCAGUCGUAGAGGUCAGCCUUCCAGGCACAAAGCAAAGUGGAGGACAGAAACCAGCACCAGAUGAGAUGUUCUCCUGGAAGCUUUGGGAAAGGCCAUCUCAGUCCCAUAGAGACUGGAGACUUUAGGAAGAGAGAGCCCCCAGUCUUGGAAAAACAAUUCCUAAUAGGAGAGACACCAGUUCCUGUUCAUAAGAGGUACCAAGUUGGGCGUCCUUGGACCCAGACAUAAGCUGGGGAGCCAGAGAAACCUGGAUGGAACAGGGACCCUAAGAAGUGGCUGAAUAACCACCAGGAGAGAGGGAGUGGCUUCCUGAACAGGAGCUGACCUGCAAGACCGGAAGAGGGAGGAGGAGAGGAGCUGGCUGAGUGAUGAACAGGGGCCAGCACUGAAGUACUGGGAAGAGAUGAGGGGCUACAGCGUUGGUGGCAGGGGAGCGCAGAGCCUGCAUAAAAGCAUCCAGGAAAACACCUUGAUGAGUCUUCAUAGAACAUUUUGGUGAGAAAGAGGACAGACUGUGGGCCCAAGCUGGAAGAGAAGACCAGGCUAAGAGGAACUGAAUUGCUUUGCAUAGCAAAGGAGCAGGGUAGGAGGCCCAGAAAGGAGAAGAAGAGAGAAAAGCCCAGGGUUCCCAGCUGAUAGCACUGACUGGAUGCAGACCUCAGGAAUGUUGGUUGGAGCUGAAUAUGGCUGUCCUUGUUUCAUGGAGCCUGGACCCCAUGGUUCAUCCUAGUCCCUCCUUGAACCCAUCCACUUUGGCUGCUUUUCUGUCCCAGGCAAGGUCUCACUCUGUUACCCAGGCUGGAGUGCAGUGGUAUGAUCACAGUUCAUGGUAGGCUUGGCUUCCCAGUUUCAAAUGAUUCUCCCAUCUCAGCUUCCCAAGUAGCUGGGACUACAGGUGCAUGCCACCAUGCUUGGCUAAUUUUUUUGAUUUUUAGCAGAGACAAUAUCUCACUAUGUGGUCCUGGCUGAUCUCGAAAUCCUGAGCUCGAGCAAUGCUCUCACUUCAGCCUCCCAAAGUAUUGUGAUUGCAGGCAUGAACAACUGUGCCCGUCCCUUUUGUCCAUUUUUAAUUGUUGUCUUUUUAUUAUUGAGUUUCAAGUGUGUGUGUGUGUGUGUGUGUGUGUGUGUGUGUGUGUGUGUGUACUUCUUGGAUAAGUUUCUCCCAGUCUCUGGCUUGUCUUUUCAUUUUUUGGAUGGCAUCUUUUGAAGCAUGAGUUUUUAUGGACUUCUUUUCUUUUUUGCUUAUUUAUUGAUGUAUUUAUUUAGAGGCAGAGUGUUGCUCUGCUGCCCAGACUGGAGUGCAAUAAUGCAAUCAUAGCCCACUGUGGCCUCCAUCACUGUGUCAGCUGGACUUUUU
rnacentral:lncRNA from 1 species